CUAAGUGGGGACGUUGUGGCGGCUCGGCGGGAUACGUCCCCAGGCCUCGGACGGUUUUCCUCCGUGCCGCGGCCCCAAGCCGGGCUCCCUGGGUCCCCCGCACGGUCCAGGCUUUGGGGCCGCGCGCCGCCCCCUCCGCCCCGCCCCGCCCCGCCGCGCCUCCUCGUCUCGGCGGCUGGCGGCCUCCGGCGCGGGAGGCUCCGAGUGUGCCGCUCCGGGCCGGGCCAGGGCUCGUAGGGAAGGGAGGCGAGGAGGUGAGAGCGCCGCAGCCCUCGCCCGGCGGGUGGCGCCAGGACUUCAGGCCGGGGGCCCGCCGCCCUGGCCCGCACCGCGCGGCCCAGUGCCGGGGAGCUGGGGAGGCCCUCCCACCGCGGCCCGGGCCCGCCGCCCUCCGGAGGCGCGGCGGGGACGGAGGCUCGUGCCCUCUCGGAGCGCCUUUGUUUCCUCCCGCCCGGCCGCGAGGGCGCCCAGCGGCUGUGACCCGGGCCGGGUCCUCGCCCAGGUGCGGCAGUGUGGCAGAGGCAGUUGCUUGCUUGGAUACAUGCAGGGAAAAGUAACCGUUUUCAACUCGACUCUGCACACUACGUUCUCGGCCAGUGUUGGUUUUUGUGGUCCUGUCACAGGGACACCGUGGUAACCGCACCGUGGCUGGCGGUGGCCUGUAGCUCGUAUUUACGGUAAUUGUCUGAUGAAAGUACAUCCAUCAGAAUUGGAUUUGUUCCUCUGUGCCUGUAUUUUGGGAAACCUUGCCUGGUCCCUGCGGGGGAAGGGAGAGGACUGUGAAAAGCUGAAGUUGACCCAGAAAAGGAUGAUUGAAGGUAGUUGUGUUAAGCGGUGGCACCGAAAUGAUCCCACCCUCAACUUUCUGAAAGGGUGAUUAGUGGUCAGCAGCUGACCUUUUAACUUUCUCAAAAAAAAUGUAUGGUAGAUUUUCUAUCUGGUCACAAGUGAGGAGGUGAAAGCUGCUUUUUGGGGCCAACUCUUUGCUUUUAAAGCAAGCUAAACGCAAAACCAAAAUGUUUCCGUUUUGUGUUUAACCUGCUUGUCCUCUCUCUUGCCCCUUCUCAGCUUCCUUCUCCUCCCGGACACGCUCUGAGCCUGAGGAGGAGGCUGACUCAGGCUGACCCUUCCGGGCCCUGCAAGGCUCCCUGUGGCACCUAAGGUAGAACCAGUGUUAUUACAGGAAAAGUCCAAGCCAGAGCCCAGAGCAGCUGUUCCCCAGAAAGUGGGAGAUGAAGAUGAGUAGGAGGUAGAGAUGCUUAUCAUUGCCCUGCCCAGAGAAAACUCAGAAGAAGGUGCAGAAUUUUCAAAAUAAAGUGCAGGCUCUAUCAAAUAAAAAAUGAAACAUUGUAUUUCAUUAAAGUGGAGAUUACUUACCUCUUUUCAUAAAAGACAUUCAAAUGGUGAGAUUGUAAAAAAAAAAAAAAAAAGAAAAUAACUUUCUAGUUCUCAAAAAUAGAACAGCUUGAGUAAUAACUCAUGGGUUUUGAAAUGGGUCAUCUUUUAAAAUGGGUCACUUUGGCUAGAAUCGUUGCACUUGGUGACUUUCACAUUGUGAAGGGUCAAGUGCCUUCUGAGGCCCAACUGCACUAGAAUCUGCAUUUCAGAACACAGGAGGUGUCAGGAAGAAACUGGGAGAAAUUCAGAAGGAAAUUGUCUCUUCACAUAAUAACAAAUGUACCCUGUUUGGGGGGAAUUUUAUGUAUGCUGAAGUAAAUAGAUCUCAGCUUUGCAUUUUAUAAUACAUUAUGCCUUUUCUGAAAUAUUUCCAUCGCCAUUAUUUUAAUUCAUUGUUAUAAUAACCGUGUAAAGAGAGGAAUUCAUUGUAUCUGUGUUCCAGAAACUGAGGCAUGGUAAAUUAUUACAAGAGCUCUGCCCUUUGACAUCAAAUCUCUGUGAGCAAAGAUGUAGCCACAACAGUGUAAAUCUGGAAUUAUAUACUUUCCUUACAGUAUGCAAUAUCUAUUAUGUAUUAGUUUAUAUACAGGGGAUGUAAGAAUCUUUAUAUUUAAAGGAUAAGCAACUUGAUCAGGUGAGAUAUGAGAUUUGAAUAAAAAAGCAAUUUUUUAAAACUUCUUAGUUCUACAAAUUCAGAUGCUGGCUUUGAUAUGUAACGUAUUAAGAUUUCUCUUCCAUAGAAGGCUUUUACACUAGAAGCCCUCUACAGAAGAAAAUGUUCUACCCAGUGUGUAGACAACAAAGCCCAAAAGUUCAAGUUCACAAUAGUGGCCCACAGCCUAAGAUCCACCUAAUAUUUCAGACUGGAUUUCUUUUGCUCCUUUCCUAUAACUUUCUAUAACUUUUUCACAGUGCUCUAAGCAAAAUAAGUUAAAAGAUGGACUCACCUCAGAUUUCCUUCUCUUACUUUAGAGGACCGUAUGAUCUUAUACUUGUGUCAUCCUAAUUGAAAUAUAUUUUAAGUGCUUAUGGGAACCAUGUUCUUUCCUGCCAAGAAUAAUGGAAGACCAUUAUUCCAUGAAUGGAAUAAUGGGAAACAUGGGAAGACCAUAUUCAGUCAAUUAGGGACGAUACUUCUGCUUCAACAGUAUUUGCAAAGUGUUAAAUGGUUCUUAGCAAUCAGAUCAGUAUUUUUAAAAACUCCUACCUAAUUAAUGUUUUUUGAGAAGAAGUAUAUUAUGAGUAUAGCUCAGCAUUCUGAAAAGAGAAAACCUCCUGAAAAAAAAAAUCAGCCAUCCACUCACUAACCCAUCCUGGUAAACCUACAUAAACAGGUUCUGGAGAAAGGAAAUUUACAGAUAUGGACCAUCUCAUCUGGACGGACAUUGUCAAUAAGUUAUCUCAAGUGAUCCUCAGAAAACACUGUCUGGUACAUAGUUUAGAGACAAGUCAAGCUCAUGUGACCAGUAAAUGGAGGCACAGCGCACAUCUCCUUUUGUUUGCAUUUAAACACUCU